AUUGAACGCUGGCGGCAUGCCUUACACAUGCAAGUCGAACGGCAGCACGGGUGCUUGCCCCUGGUGGCGAGUGGCGAACGGGUGAGUAAUACAUCGGAACAUGUCCUGUAGUGGGGGAUAGCCCGGCGAAAGCCGGAUUAAUACCGCAUACGAUCUACUUAUGAAAGCGGGGGACCUUCGGGCCUCGCGCUAUAGGGUUGGCCGAUGGCUGAUUAGCUCGUUGGUGGGGUAAAGGCCUACCAAGGCGACGAUCAGUAGCUGGUCUGAGAGGACGACCAGCCACACUGGGACUGAGACACGGCCCAGACUCCUACGGGAGGCAGCAGUGGGGAAUUUUGGACAAUGGGCGAAAGCCUGAUCCAGCAAUGCCGCGUGUGUGAAGAAGGCCUUCGGGUUGUAAAGCACUUUUGUCCGGAAAGAAAUACUUGGCCCUAAUACGGUCGGGGGAUGACGGUACCGGAAGAAUAAGCACCGGCUAACUACGUG
rnacentral:rRNA from 1 species